CUUUAUUUUAUAAAAAUAAAUUAAUUUCUAAAUUAAAAAGUUUAGUUUUAUUUAAAAGACGAGAAGACCCUAUAGAGCUUUAUUAAUUUUUAAAUAAUUUUUAUUUUGUUUAUAUUUAUUUUUUAUUAAAAAUUUAAUUUUGUUGGGGUGACAAAAAAAAAUAGAUAACUUUUUUUCUUUCAUUCAUUUAUUUAUGAUUUUUUGAUCCUUUUUUAUGGAAAAAAGAUUAAGUUACCUUAGGGAUAACAGCGUUAUUAUUUUAAAGAGUUCUUAUCGAUAAAAUAGUUUGCGACCUCGAUGUUGGAUUAAAAUAAGUUUCAGGAGUAAAAGA
rnacentral:rRNA from 1 species